UACAGAGGGUGCGAGCGUUAAUCGGAAUUACUGGGCGUAAAGCGCGCGUAGGCGGCUUUGCAAGUCGGGUGUGAAAUCCCCAGGCUUAACCUGGGAACUGCAUUCGAGACUGCAUUGCUAGAGUAUGGGAGAGGGAAGUGGAAUUUCCGGUGUAGUGGUGAAAUGCGUAGAUAUCGGGAGGAACACCAGUGGCGAAGGCGACUACCUGGCCUGUUUCUUGACGCUGAGGCGCGAAAGCUAGGGGAGCAAACGGG
rnacentral:rRNA from 1 species